CUUUUAUCCUUUAUAAUGGAGUGACAAACUCAGACAUUGUGUGUUGUCAUCAGCUUCAUCUACCAUACGACCGACGAUAUUGGAGUUAAAUAACAGCACUGCAUUU